GAUGAGACAAUGAGCUGCAGCUGCAGCACCUGGGCAGCUGCAGCUAAUCAUCAUCCUCCACCUGCAACGCAGCGCCGGGUCAUUCUCCUCCACUUCCCAUCUCCGUGCUGGAGACAGAACUGAGCCGACAGAGCAGCCCACGUCUUCCCCCCCUGCCGUCCACCAGACAGUGGACGUGGACCCUUGCCGUUCCAGGCCACCGCAGCCGCGCUCCCCCGGGAGAAGAGCGAUCCUUCCCCCCCGCCCCGUACUGCUCCGAUCGUCCGGCCCGCUCCCUGAAGAGGCCGCGGCGGCGUCCUGGCUGCAGGUGCCUUCGCUCCCCCAGGUGCCGACUGCUGCCCCCACAGGAGCCGCCUUCCCUCCCCACUUCCUCACGUGUCCUCGGAGGUUGCCUUAUGAUGAAGCUGCAGUGCCUGGCUGUCUUGGAUCUCAUGCGUUUCAGUCUUUUGAAAGAGGGGAGGACAUUAAAAAGAUGUCCCUCAAGCUUUGUCUGCACUGAGACUCGCUUAAUAUUUCUUGGGUGCCCAAACAAUCUCUUCUGGCCCCUUCUCAGCAUAGUAAUGGCUUGACUCCAAGGCCCCUCCAGAUUACCUCCUCCUCAUCUUAUUUAUUUAUUUAUUUAUUUAUUUAUUUGUGGUCAAAUGAUUUCGCCAACAUAUUUUAUUAAA